AACGAACGCUGGCGGCAGGCCUAACACAUGCAAGUCGAGCGAACCCUUCGGGGUUAGCGGCGGACGGGUGAGUAACGCGUGGGAAUAUGCCCUUUGCUACGGAAUAGCCCCGGGAAACUGGGAGUAAUACCGUAUACGCCCUUUGGGGGAAAGAUUUAUCGGCAAAGGAUUAGCCCGCGUUGGAUUAGGUAGUUGGUGGGGUAAUGGCCUACCAAGCCGACGAUCCAUAGCUGGUUUGAGAGGAUGAUCAGCCACACUGGGACUGAGACACGGCCCAGACUCCUACGGGAGGCAGCAGUGGGGAAUCUUAGACAAUGGGGGCAACCCUGAUCUAGCCAUGCCGCGUGAGUGAUGAAGGCCCUAGGGUUGUAAAGCUCUUUCAGCUGGGAAGAUAAUGACGGUACCAGCAGAAGAAGCCCCGGCUAACUCCGUGCCAGCAGCCGCGGUAAGUCACACU
rnacentral:rRNA from 1 species